CUAAAGACCUCUUAAGGUAGUAGCAACCGCAAAACCCAUAUAACAUGGCGGUCAAAAUAGAUUAGAGGAACUCGCUUCAUAAUCGUCAAUACCCGAUCAAUCUAACUUAUUUAACAAGCCUAUAUACCGCCGUUACAGAUCUCAUUCAAUAAUAUAACUCAUUCAAGCUCCCCCGCUAAAAAAUCAGGUCAAGGUGUAGCUAAUAAAUAAGCGCAAGUAAGUUACAUUAAGAAAUACUUAAGAAUUUCAAUAAAAAUAUUACAUGAAAAAGAAUCUAAUCACAAAAUAAUGUUAAAAUCACUAUUCGAAACAGCAACAUUGACGC
rnacentral:rRNA from 1 species